UACGUAGGUGGCAAGCGUUAUCCGGAAUUAUUGGGCGUAAGGCGCGCGCAGGUGGUUUCUUAAGUCUGAUGUGAAAGCCCACGGCUCAACCGUGGAGGGUCAUUGGAAACUGGGAGACUUGAGUGCAGAAGAGGAAAGUGGAAUUCCAUGUGUAGCGGUGAAAUGCGUAGAGAUAUGGAGGAACACCAGUGGCGAAGGCGACUUUCUGGUCUGCAACUGACACUGAGGCGCGAAAGCGUGGGGAGCAAACAGG
rnacentral:rRNA from 1 species